AUGAUUAAAGAUAGCUUGCUAUUUUUAUGAAGAGCGGCGAACGGGUGAGUAACGCGUGGGAAAUCUGCCGAGUAGCGGGGGACAACGUUUGGAAACGAACGCUAAUACCGCAUAACAAUGAGAAUCGCAUGAUUCUUAUUUAAAAGAAGCAAUUGCUUCACUACUUGAUGAUCCCGCGUUGUAUUAGCUAGUUGGUAGUGUAAAGGACUACCAAGGCGAUGAUACAUAGCCGACCUGAGAGGGUGAUCGGCCACACUGGGACUGAGACACGGCCCAGACUCCUACGGGAGGCAGCAGUAGGGAAUCUUCGGCAAUGGGGGCAACCCUGACCGAGCAACGCCGCGUGAGUGAAGAAGGUUUUCGGAUCGUAAAACUCUGUUGUUAGAGAAGAACGUUAAGUAGAGUGGAAAAUUACUUA
rnacentral:rRNA from 1 species